rnacentral:rRNA from 1 species
GACGAACGCUGGCGGCGUGCUUAACACCUGCAAGUCGAACGAAGUGGCGAACGGGUGAGUAACGCGUAAGCAACCUGCCCUUCAGAGGGGAACAACAGUUGGAAACGACUGCUAAUACCGCAUACUGAUUGAGCAGAAUGCGUAUGAUUAGCUAGUUGGAGGGGUAACGGCCCACCAAGGCGAUGAUAAGUAGCCUGUGGGAGAGGAUGAACGGCCAGAUUGGGUCUGAGACACGGCCCAGACUCCUACGGGAGGCAGCAGUGGGGAAUCUUCCGCAAUGGACGAAAGUCUGACGGAGCAACGCCGCGUGAGUGAUGACGGCCUUCGGGUUGUAAAGCUCUGUUAAUCGGGACGCGGUACCGGAAUAGAAAGCCACGGCUAACUACGUGCCAGCAGCCGCGGUAAUUC